CCUACGGGCGGCAGCAGUGAGGAAUAUUGGUCAAUGGUCGGGAGACUGAACCAGCCAAGCCGCGUGAGGGAUGAAGGUACAGAGUAUCGUAAACCUCUUUUGUCAGGGAACAAAGGCGGGGACGUGUCCCCGGAUGAGUGUACCUGAAGAAAAAGCAUCGGCUAACUCCGUGCCAGCAGCCGCGGUAAUACGGAGGAUGCGAGCGUUAUCCGGAUUUAUUGGGUUUAAAGGGUGCACAGGCGGUCUGUUAAGUCAGCGGUCAAAGCCCGGGGCUCAACCCCGGCCCGCCGUUGAAACUGGCAGGCUCGAGUUGGAGAGAAGUAUGCGGAAUGCGCGGUGUAGCGGUGAAAUGCAUAGAUAUCGCGCAGAACUCCGAUUGCGAAGGCAGCAUGCCGGCUCCACACUGACGCUGAGGCACGAAAGCGUGGGUAUCGAACAGGAUUAGAUACCCUUGUAGUC
rnacentral:rRNA from 1 species